UCUAAUAUGGCAGAAAUUGUAUGCAAUGAACUUAAAAUUCAUUUAUAAAGAUUAAUCUUUUUUUAGAA
rnacentral:tRNA from 1 species